CUUCUACUCCCUCCGUCCGAAAAUACUUGUCAUUGAAAUGGAUGUAUCUAGAUGUAUUUUAGUUCUAGACACAUCCAUUUUGAUGACAAGUAAUUCCGGAUGGAGGGAGUACUUG
rnacentral:pre_miRNA from 1 species